rnacentral:miRNA from 1 species
AGAUGCAUCACCUGGAGACCUUUCUGAAAUGCAGAUUCUGCCCCAGGAAGUUUGGAGUGGGGACCCAGAGUUUGCAUUUCUAAACAGCUCCAAGGUGGUGCUAAG